AUGUGUUGCUCGCCGAGCUGCGGUAAGCAAUGCAGUUAUCCCCUUAUUUCAGUCCAAGCCGUGGGGAAUGACUCGAGGACAGCACCGAGGGAAGCCCCGCGCAAAUCUCCUGGUGUUGGUACCAGCUCUAGGAAUUUGCAGGCUCUGAACCCCCUUAUCGCCGCUCUCGCAGCUUUUCAGCACUGCCCCAGCAGCUCCCAGCCCUCCCUGGCUCUGCUCAGCCCCGGAGUGAGCAGUCACAGCUCUCCUUGGUCCAUGAGGCAGAACGGCCCUUGGAUGGGGCAGAAUUUGGCCCCGUCACGCUCUCUGUGCGGCUGCUGCCUUGCCAACGGUCCUGUUACUGCAGCAGGGGAAGUGGUGCGCAGCGAAGGAAGCUCUCCGGUCCUGCCUGUCGUGAGCAAACGGACUGCGUUUGGGAACUGGUUUGGAUAUCUCGUUCCCUGGCGUUGAGAUGCUUCACCUCCUGAGGCUGGUGCCGUGCGAGGCUCUCCCUCUUCUUGCUCCUGCAGCAGAGAGGCCUCAGCACGUUGCUGUGGUACCUGCACCCAGAGCUCCCCUCUGCAGAAGGGAAACUGAGGCACGCACCUGGAAAUACCAUGUGUGAGGUCACUGCAUCAGGUCGGAGUUCUGAGCCCCUCCAGCCUUUAUGAAAUAACUAAGCCAAAGGGGAAAACAAAGCUGCAAGCAGCUAGGUAAGCCCAGAGAGAGACUCAAAGAGUUGUGUCCCUGCUCCUGCACAUGUGGCACCACCUCUCUGCUCACAACCACCGUGCCCGAGCAGAACACACGUUGCAGAGCCAAGGCCAGCUCCAUCGAGACACCCUCGGUGUCCCACCUGCUGUGUCCCCUCCUGGCUUCAAGCUCCAGAACCACGGGGCCUCGUAGUCUUUUAAUUUCCUCCUGUCUCAGCAAAUGGCUGGGAAGCUAAGAACCAAAUUUUGGAGAGAAGAGAGAUGAAAAUCCAGAGGAAAUUGCUGGUUUCCCGCAGUGCUGACUCUGAGCUGUUUGAUAUUCUCUCUUUUUUAAGGUUUGCUUGUUUUAAAGCAACAUUAAUUGGAAAGAUGCUGGAGUGUCAAAUAGAAACCACUCCCUGAAUAACCUUGCUA
ensembl:lncRNA